GAUGAACGCUAGCUACAGGCUUAACACAUGCAAGUCGAGGGGCAGCAUGGUCUUAGCUUGCUAAGGCCGAUGGCGACCGGCGCACGGGUGAGUAACACGUAUCCAACCUGCCGUCUACUCUUGGACAGCCUUCUGAAAGGAAGAUUAAUACAAGAUGGCAUCAUGAGUCCGCAUGUUCACAUGAUUAAAGGUAUUCCGGUAGACGAUGGGGAUGCGUUCCAUUAGAUAGUAGGCGGGGUAACGGCCCACCUAGUCUUCGAUGGAUAGGGGUUCUGAGAGGAAGGUCCCCCACAUUGGAACUGAGACACGGUCCAAACUCCUACGGGAGGCAGCAGUGAGGAAUAUUGGUCAAUGGGCGCAGGCCUGAACCAGCCAAGUAGCGUGAAGGAUGACUGCCCUAUGGGUGGUAAACUUCUUUUAUAAAGGAAUAAAGUCGGGUAUGUAUACCCGUUUGCAUGUACUUUAUGAAUAAGGAUCGGCUAACUCCGUG
rnacentral:rRNA from 1 species